AUCCCGUGAACCAUCGAGUUUUUGAACGCAAGUUGCGCCCGAAGCCUUCGGGCCGAGGGCACGCCUGCCUGGGCGUCACGCAUCGCGUCGCCCCCCCCUCCCACCCCGCCCUCGGUUGGCGGGGCGGCCGGGAGGGGGCGGAGACUGGCCUCCCGUGCGCUCCCGUCGCGCGGCCGGCCC
rnacentral:rRNA from 1 species